ACGCAGCUUGCACAAAAGAAUCCUACAGCAAUCCAUCAACCAAAACUUUUCUAUAGCAAAAAUAACUCUUAUUAACGGUGACUGGAAUACUAAGACAAGACUCAAGAGUGUAUUCUGAAUCAUUAGGUGCUAUUUAGAAGAAAAAAUCGAAUCUUGAAAUACCCAACCGAUAAAGAGAUAAGCUUUGAAGAUAAUCACUCGCAAGCCUAAAUGGCAAAUUGAACUUCCGUGAGAAGAAACACAAAUCAUGAAAAAAGAAAACCACAUUUUUAUUCACAUUAAGAGUUUCUAGUUUCAUGUUCAUAAAGAUUCACUAGAAGAAGCCUAGAUUUUUACUUUAAACCACAAAUUACAAUUGCCUAAAUCUGAACAACGAGCUCAAACAUAUAAGAACACACUAAGCUAAAAAAAAUCAGACAAGCACAAUACUAUACGCGCAAGAGAAAGUACGAAACAACCUCAGAGAUUGUGCAUGGACUACGAAAGUAGACGGCUUUACCUUCUUGACAAUGGGGGAUGAGA